UAUCGGAUUGAUACUAAGCCAUGCGAGUCAUUGUAGCAAUACAAGGCAUACGGCUCAGUAACGCGUAGUCAACCUAACCUAUGGACGGGAAUAACCUCGGGAAACUGAGAAUAAUGCCCGAUAGAACAUUAUGCCUGGAAUGGUUUAUGUUCCAAAUGAUUUAUCGCCGUAGGAUGGGACUGCGGCCUAUCAGUUUGUUGGUGAGGUAAUGGCCCACCAAGACUAUUACAGGUACGGGCUCUGAGAGGAGUAGCCCGGAGAUGGGUACUGAGACACGGACCCAGGCCCUAUGGGGCGCAGCAGGCGAGAAAACUUUGCAAUGUGCGAAAGCACGACAAGGUUAAUCCGAGUGAUUUGUGCUAAACGAAUCUUUUGUUAGUCCUAGAAACACUAACGAAUAAGGGGUGGGCAAGU
rnacentral:rRNA from 2 species